rnacentral:rRNA from 1 species
UACACGACUCUCGGCAACGGAUAUCUCGGCUCUCGCAUCGAUGAAGAACGUAGCGAAAUGCGAUACCUGGUGUGAAUUGCAGAAUCCCGCGAACCAUCGAGUCUUUGAACGCAAGUUGCGCCCGAGGCCAUUCGGCCGAGGGCACGCCUGCCUGGGCGUCACGC